CCAGACUUGACAUGCGGCGGACGGGUGUGGAAACACACCUUCCCUUCGGGGCCGUCGCACAGGUGCUGCAUGGCUGUCGUCAGCUCGUGUCGUGAGAUGUUGGGUUAAGUCCCGCAACGAGCGCAACCCUUGUCCUUAGUUGCUAACGGGUCAAGCCGAGCACUCUAAGGAGACUGCCGGUGAUAAACCGGAGGAAGGUGGGGAUGACGUCAAGUCCUCAUGGCCCUUACGUCUGGGGCUACACACGUGCUAUAAUGGCCGGUACAAAGGGUUCCGAUACCGCGAGGUGGAGGCAAUCCCAAAAAACCGGUCUCAGUUCGGAUUGCAGUCUGCAACUCGACUGCAUGAAGUCGGAAUCGCUAGUAAUCGCUGAUCAGCAGGCAGCGGUGAAUACGUUCCC
rnacentral:rRNA from 1 species